AUCAAUUUGCCCUAGAGAUGCUCUUUGUACAUAACCCCUGUUAUACUAACAAAAUGUUACUGAGCCCUCUUUGUGAAGUCACAACACAGCCCAUUCUGCAAAUUGUGAUAACUGAUUUGCAUAUGAGGGUCACAGGAUAUGUCACAAAGUGUAUGGUUAGCACAUGUAAACAUUUUUCGUCUGCUUUCAAUUCUGCUAGUUUAUAAAUAAUGUUUUUUAAUGGUCUUCAUAUCUAUGUGAAACACUGUUAAGGAGACAGUUGUUUAAGGGGAAUGCAAUUACUUGCAUUCAAUCUGUUGCCAGAAUUGCCUUUUGACACAUUCUUAGCUUAUUCUAUU